rnacentral:tRNA from 2 species
GCCUGGCUAGCUCAGUCGGUUGAGCAUGAGACUCUUAAUGUCAGGGUUGUGGGUUCAAGCCCCACGUUGGGCG